rnacentral:misc_RNA from 1 species
UUUCCGUAGGUGAACCUGCGGAAGGAUCAUUACAGAGUUCAUGCCCUCACGGGUAGAUCUCCCACCCUUGAAUAUUAUACCUUAGUUGCUUUGGCAGGCCGUGGAAACACCAUGGGCUCCGGCUUACGCGUGCCUGCCAGAGGAAACAAACUCUGUUUUUAGUGAUGUCUGAGUACUAUAUAAUAGUUAAAACUUUCAACAACGGAUCUCUUGGUUCUG